AUCCUAUUUUCGUCCCUUGAAAACCUCUGUAAUUCACUUUUACCCAAAUCGAAACUCACAAAGAACCCUAGAAUUGAAAAUCAGAAAUUGUUCCUCUUCCAAUUUCCCAAAUCCCCAUUUCAGAUGGUUUUCAACCCCUAAUCUCCCAACCCUACAUCCUGCCUCAUCAUCAAGUAACCUAAACCCCCAAAGAUUAAUUCUCUAAAUUGCAGGUUAUCAGUGGGUUAUUCUAGCCUUUGAUUUGUUCUUUAUGAUUUUCUGUAUCACAGUGGCCUGUAUUUUUGCAUUGUUCUGUUGCGUUCCUAUCUUAUGUACAGUUGCCUACUAAAAAUUUGAUUAGCUGGACACUUAGCCCCUGUUUGGCUCCCAUUACGGGGAAAAUUUAAUGUAUAGAAUAGUGUGUUUUGAAAAAUGAGUGGUUGAAAAAGAAAGAAAAAUUUUCGAUUUACGUGUAAUAUUAUUUUAUGGAAGAUUGUGUGGUUGAAAAUAUGAGAGAGAAAAAUAGAAUGUAAUGUAAUGUAAUGUAAUGAAAAUCAAACAAGGGCUUAAUGUGAACUAAAACUAAGCUUAUCAUAUUCAGUAGUUUAGAUUACUCAUCAAAGAAAAAAGAUUAAGACCAGCAACUUUUGUUUGUAGUUCUUGUCAAUUUCCACUUCUAGUCUUGUUUGUGAAGUUGUUAAAGGUUCUGAAUUUUGUAAUUGGGUUCUUUUAUCAGUCUCCUGGUCAUGCAGCAAUUCCUUAGUAAUUACUUUUUUUAAAGCCAAAAUCAUAUGUCGAGUACACAACUUUAAGUCCAUUUAUUCUCAAAGAGAGAGGCUCAUUGAUUGUUAAGGCAUCUUCUGAUGUCGAUGGAGUAGGAUCGACUGAUCCAGAGUCUCCUGCCCUUCCUUCGAAAAUUUAUGAGGAAAAUGUGCCUAUUGAGGACCUUUUUCUUGAAUCCAAGUUAUAGCUGAAGCUUGGGCAGAAGAUGAGGAUGAAGGCGACAAGUAAGAUUAGGCUAAGGAGGAGGCUUGUUAGGAACCUUGUGUUAUAAGCAUCUCAACAGUUUCAAAUUCGAGUUCUGCAUAAAUACAUAUACCUCAACGCCGAAAUCACAAAUGGACUAGCUGCAG
rnacentral:lncRNA from 1 species